AGUGAACGCUGGCGGCGUGCCUAAUACAUGCAAGUCGAACGGACAAGUAAGAGCUUGCUCUUAUGAGUUAGUGGCGCACGGGUGAGUAAUGUAUAGCUAAUCUGCCCUACACUAGAGGACAACAGUUGGAAACGACUGCUAAUACUCUAUACUCCUAUCUAACAUAAGUUAGAUAGGGAAAGUUUUUCGGUGUAGGAUGAGGCUAUAUUGUAUCAGCUAGUUGGUGAGGUAAUGGCUCACCAAGGCUAUGACGCAUAACUGGUCUGAGAGGAUGAUCAGUCACACUGGAACUGAGACACGGUCCAGACUCCUACGGGAGGCAGCAGUAGGGAAUAUUGCUCAAUGGGGGAAACCCUGAAGCAGCAACGCCGCGUGGAGGAUGACACUUUUCGGAGCGUAAACUCCUUUUGUUAGGGAAGAACAAUGACGGUACCUAACGAAUAAGCACCGGCUAACUCCGUGCCAGCAGCCGCGGUAAUACGGAGGGUGCAAGCGUUACUCGGAAUCACUGGGCGUAAAGGACGCGUAGGCGGAUUAUCAAGUCUCUUGUGAAAUCCUAUGGCUUAACCAUAGAACUGCUUGGGAAACUGAUAAUCUAGAGUGAGGGAGAGGCAGAUGGAAUUGGUGGUGUAGGGGUAAAAUCCGUAGAGAUCACCAGGAAUACCCAUUGCGAAGGCGAUCUGCUGGAACUCAACUGACGCUAAUGCGUGAAAGCGUGGGGAGCAAACAGG
rnacentral:rRNA from 1 species